UACAUGUGGGGCAAGCGUUGUUCGGAAUUACUGGGCGUAAAGGGUGCGUAGGUGGUUUGUUAAGUCAGGGGUGAAAUCCCGCGGCCCAACCGUGGAACUGCCUUUGAUACUGGCGAACUUGAGUGCGUGAGGGGUAGGGGGAACGAGCAGUGUAGCGGUGAAAUGCGUAGAUAUUGCUCGGAAGGCCAGAGCCGAAGGGGCCCUACUGGUGCGCAACUGACACUGAGGCACGAAAGCGUGGGGAGCAAACAGG
rnacentral:rRNA from 1 species